UGCCGGCUUUCCAACAGCCGGCGCGAAUACCGAAGAGGCUUGACCUUCAUUGCCAGGUGUGCGGACGGGAUCACUCCCAACCAAUCCACGGCAGCACAGUUUGUCUGAGCAUUUGGCUCGUCGCGCCUCCAUCGCGUGACGCUUGUCGAAGCGCUCGG
rfam:Rhodopseudomonas palustris strain BAL398 c712l1462c279.733246, whole genome shotgun sequence.